GCGCAGAGAGGAGGAGAGGAGAGGGGUGCAGGCAUAGACAUAAUAAAAGAUAGACCCCGCAUCGGCCGCUACCACGAAUGGGCGCUGUCGAGAAAUGCGGCCGCCAUCUUGGUCCGGUCAUCCGCCUCACUCUGCACCGCUGUUUAACCGGCGGAAUGAAGUCUGAGCGCAUUAAAUGAAUCAUAGUUCGCUCAAUACUACGUAAUUUUCUUCUCUGCAAACGCCAUUCAAAGAGGCAUGAUAGAGGCCAUAUUUUUUUUGGCGUUUUCAAAUACUCAGAAUGAAUAAAAUGAUAUUUUAGAACAUGGCAGCAGUGGCUGUAUUAUAGUAUAACAAUUAAUCAAGGAUAUAUCUAGGUUUAGAGCUAGGUUCCUGCUAUGUCUCAAUAAUUAUUAAUAACUGGCGGUUUUAAUAGGCCAAUUCAAUAUAUAUUGAUUUGAUUAUAUUUUAUUUAGUUUAAUGUUAUUUAUCCAUUUGUAGACACACACAAAUAAUCUCAUAUAGAAGCACUAUUUUAAUAACUGGAAAAUACACACAAAGAAAUACACACAAAUAUUAAGCCUACAUAUCAAAAAAAUUUAAACACAAGAAAAGCAUGACAGGACAGCAUCUAAACUACAUAUCAAUUUGCUUGUUGGCUACACAGCACAGAGGAAUCACUUGCUGCGAAUUUCUCCCUCUAACAGCAAUCUCCCACUUCUUCCUCAAGUUUUUGUCCUUAGGAAAUCUUCAAAAUGAAACAGGAGAUCACCACAAAGAAAUCUUUAAUAAAACAGAUAAUAAAACAGAGCUCACUUUCUUCCUUCUUCUUUCUAUUUUAUUUCUUAACGUUUCUUAGAACCUCUCUCAAACAAAAGUUUUUCAAUCUAAUGCGAAUCUGUUGAUAAUCGAGCAAAGUUGCUAUUAUUGUGAAUAAGCUAGCUGUUCGCAAAUGCUGUUUCCUUUUUGGAGUUGACCGAUAGUCUUCCUCUUUGGCCUACAAAUGACUCUACAGUCAAGUGUAAUGUUGAAAAAACGUGUAAUCAUAACUGUGAAGUUAUUCCUUGAGCCCUGUUCUCUGCUGUCCGCCUGUUGGCACAGGAAUACGCCGCACAGUGCUCCGGCAUCGCUGAAUGAAUGAAUGAAUGAAUAUGAUUGACCGGAGCGUAUGGGAAGCUUGACCUGACCAAGAUGGCGGCCGCAUUUCUCGCUGCGCAGCACCCCCAGCGGGGUCUACCCUUUUAUUAUGUCUAUGGGUGCAGGCAGAAGGAGAGGAGAGAUGAAUCAGCUCCACGUCCCCGGAUGUUGAUCUUCCUCCAGCGUCGUAAACCUGUUUAUUCUGAAUAAUAAUAAUAAUAAUAAUAAUAAUAAUAAUAAUAAUAAUAAUAAUAAUAAUAAUAUCAUUCUGUAACAAACCCUCUUCACCUCAUCGAGACUUUUCAAAUCCUGUUUUUAGGUUUAAAAGGACGGGACUGUGUCACAGCGACGUCCGCAGGCAGAAAGAGGAACUGCAGGAGAAACAUAAAGGAUGUAAAUACACUGAACUGCAGGACAAAACAAAUAUCAGAUUAACCCUAGAAGACUGUCACUAAAAUUAACACCAUCACUACCACUGGGUGAUUUUUACCUGAAAUAAUAUACCCAAGAAAAAGUACUUGUCAUCCAAAUAUAUCAAAAUAGGACAAUACAUGACAAAUUAAAGUAGUUUUCUUAUAUUUUUAACUGUGCAAUGUCCAAAGGGAGGGAAAAAAAUUGACAUGAGGGUACCAUAUAAAA